UCGGGAAUUUUGGGCAAUGGGGGAAACCCUGACCCAGCAGCGCCGCGUGAAGGAUGAAGUAUUUCGGUAUGUAAACUUCGAAAGAAUAGGAAGAAUAAAUGACGGUACUAUUUAUAAGGUCCGGCUAACUACGUGCCAGCAGCCGCGGUAAUACGUAGGGACCAAGCGUUGUUCGGAUUUACUGGGCGUAAAGGGCGCGUAGGCGGCAUGACAAGUCACUUGUGAAAUCUCUGGGCUUAACCCAGAACGGCCAAGUGAUACUGUCGCGCUAGAGUGCAGAAGGGGCAAUCGGAAUUCUUGGUGUAGCGGUGAAAUGCGUAGAUAUCAAGAGGAACACCUGAGGUGAAGACGGGUUGCUGGGCUGACACUGACGCUGAGGCGCGAAAGCCAGGGGAGCAAACGGGAUUAGAUACCCCCGUAGUCCCUGAGCGGGCUGGCAAGGCGCAU
rnacentral:rRNA from 1 species